UACAGAGGGGGCAAGCGUUGUUCGGAAUUACUGGGCGUAAAGGGCGCGUAGGCGGCUUUGCAAGUGACGGGUGAAAUCCCUCGGCUUAACCGAGGAACUGCCUGUCAGACUGCAUGGCUUGAGACCGGGAGAGGUGAGUGGAAUUCCCAGUGUAGCGGUGAAAUGCGUAGAUAUUGGGAGGAACACCAGUGGCGAAGGCGGCUCACUGGACCGGUACUGACGCUGAGGCGCGAAAGCGUGGGGAGCAAACAGG
rnacentral:rRNA from 1 species